rnacentral:lncRNA from 10 species
CUGGGAAACAGAGUGAGACUCCAUCUCAACAACAACAAAAAAGAUACUAACACGAUUUCAGGCUAAGUCAAUAGUAAAGUGUCCAGGUAUAGAAACAUAGCAAUCUGACAGUCAGGAUGGUUUAGACUCCAACUGAAAUAGUGUUUAGCUGUGGGCAGUACCAUACAAGUAUGCCCAGGAGAGAAGAAAGAGGUGAUGAAUAUCUAGAUACAAAUUCUGAAAACUCACAGGGAGAGGGACUGGAAAGAUGGAUGUCAAACUUGGUGCUCAGUUAAUGCUAGCUACUGUUAUUAUUUUCCCAUUUCCCUGGUUACCCAGUUCCUAGGGGAUUGUCCUGAGGCUGAGGUCUGCCUCUUGAAAAGCAUAAAUAUCUCCUCCCCAGCUCCAGCUGCAUUUCCUCAUUUGCCCCUUCCCCAUUCUCUUCAUGUUGCUGGUGUGUCUGCAAUGUGUCCUUCCGUCUCAAGCUCUCUGAACUCAGAUCAAUAUUAUGGGUGUGGUGUAAUGUCUCUCCUCAUUCCUCAUCCUAAUCCUGGAAUGUGGAGUUGAUAGUGUCCCUAGGGCUGAAUCCUGUGUUUUAUAGAUGAAAACACUGAUUCAGAAAAAGACUGUGGCUUUCUCAAGGUCCUGGAGUUCUUUGGUGGCAGAGCUAGGAUCAGAACUGCAGUCAGUCCAGUGCCAUUUUUGAACUGCCUUCUGGUCCUUUUCCUCCUAAUCCAACCACUCACUGAGCUCCAAGAGGUUUUGAUUUGGAGGAGGAGGAGGAGAGGGAGAAGGUAAGAUGUAGAGCCUCUGUGGGCCAGCAACAGAGUGCAUAAGAUUGAGAAGACUAGACCCCAAGGCUCCGUCUUUUAUCAACAGGGUUGCCUUUGUUACUGGAGUGAGGUGAGCCAAUAUCCUGGUUAAUUUUCCUGGGGAACCCUGACUCCCAGGAAAAUCCUUGAUUCACUCACUGCUGCCUGAGGAAUAAGAGAGGACUUACCUGACAUCAGGAUAAUCUUAACCCCUUCCUUGAUUCCUUCUUGCAAGGGGGGUGGGACAGUAGUAUUGCUUUGAUUUCCAGCAGCAAUAGCCCCAGGACAGGUAUUAAAUAGAGAAAGUAGCAUUUUGCCUGUAAUAAACCCACUUGUCUGUUUAUCACAACUUUUAACCUAAAAAUCCAGCAAUUUUAUCAUCUUCAUCACCAUUCUCUCAUCUCCAACGCCGUUCCAUGUGCACAGCACACUAUAGGGUAUAUGCUUUAUAAAUCACUUCCACGCCCAUUGUCUUCCUUGACGUUUCCAAUUACCUUGUAUGGUUGCUCAUGGGAAAGCUGAUGCCCAGGGAGGCAUCAGGACUUGCUGAGCUCAAGCCAAGUGUGGCUGAAUCACAAGGUAUUAUCAAUUUUGCUUCCCAGGCAAGCUGUAUUUCUCAAAUGUGCCUUCCUUGAAAAUUUUCUUAAAUGCGCCUUCCUGUAAAAAUUUUUCUCUUUUAUAAUUCUAGGGUAAGAGUCUCAUUUUAGAUCUACAAAAGAAGAAGGAACAGUGAUGUGUGGAACCUGUAACACAAGCAGACAGAAGAUCAGUUGAGGGGUGACUUGCAUGGCCAGAGAAUUUAAAAGUUAUCGAAGGAAAUCAAGAAAUAAUUGAGGCCAACCCAUUUUAAGGAUGCGGACACUGGGACCCAGAAAAAGAAGAACUGAUUUCAUGGGAAAAUAGAGCUGUUUGGUGGCAUGGUUGGGAUUGUAACCCGGGUUUCUGGGUUCCUGCCCUGAUGUGAGCCUGGACACAGGUCUACUCCAGUCGUUGACAAUGAGUAUUCAGGAAUCUGUCAGCUAUAAUCUGCCAUUCUCCUGGAAGCACAGAUGGACUGGCUAAUUGCCCUUGCCCUUUCCCUGGAGUUUGGAAGCCCUCUUUGCUCCAAGCUAGCGGCCAGCUCUACUGGGCCUGCAGGUUAUUAUGCCCCAAAUGCGGGUAUAACCCCAGAGGUGUAACCCAGGAGAAGUUGAGCAUCCAAUUGCUCCACAUCUGCCCAGAACCCCAGAUCAUAGAAUUACUGUUUCCUACAAUGAGAAUCACGUGUCAGACCUGGAAUGGACCCAAUGGCAGCUUGUAGGCCUGUCCCAGGCCUCAGAUAAGGAGGAGCCAUUCCAUGGGCCAUUGUGAUGAUCUUGAGUGGGCCAAUCAAAACCCUCCCCUGGGACUUCCUGAGCUGUCUCUGGAAACUGGACUGAGACUCUCAGGGUGUGAUCCCAGAGUUGGCAGUUGCUACUUUGGCCUGUCACAUCAUGUUGGUGUGAUUAUGACUGUGCUGCUAUGCUGCUGUCACACGUGGAAACCCCCUGCCCCUCACCCCAUUCAAAAAAGGAGGAGAAAAAAAGAGAAUGUGCCAGCCGAAUGUAUUCCUACUUACAGUUCCCAAGAUUUCUGCAGCUGCUGUGAUUAUUAUAGCUUUUCCUUCCUAUUUUAUUUUUUUUCUGUAUGUAGUCUCAGCCUCCCUCUAGGAAAUCCUUUUCCCCGUUUUCUUUUCUUUUUUUUUAAUUAAACUGUG